rnacentral:lncRNA from 10 species
UUGAUCUCUCAGGCUCAAGUGAUCCUCCUGCCUCAGCCUCCCGAGUAGCUAGUAUUACAAGUGGCACAUCAGCAUACCUGGCUAACUUUUUAAAUUUUUUUAUAAAGAUGGGGUCCCACCAUAUUGCCCAGGCUGGUCUCAAACCAACUUUUAAAAAUAGCCUUUAUUUUUUAGAGUGGUUUUAGGUUCACAGCAAAAUUAAGCAGAAAGUACAGAGUGAUCCCAGAUACUCCCUGCCCACACACGUGCAUAGGGUCCUCCACUGUCAACAGCUCCAACCAGAGUGGUGCAUUUCUUUCCAUCAAUGAACCUGCACUGACUUAUCAUUAUCACCUGGAUUCCACAGUUUACACUAGGAUUCCCUCACUUACAGACAUGCAGUUAAGUUUUUUCCAUGUCUUUUUGUGGUUUCAUGGCUCAUAUUUUUUUUUUUUUGUAGCACUGAAUACUGAAUAGUAUUCCAUUGUCUGGAUAUACCCCAGUUUAUUUAUUCAGCAUCUACUGAGGGUCAUCCUUGUAGCGUCUAAGUUUUAGCAAUUGUGAAUAAAGCUGCUAUAAAAUUGGUGUGCAGGUUUCUGUGUGGAUGUACAUUUUCAGUUCCUUUGGGUAAAUACCAAGGAGCAUAAUUGCUGAGUCGCCUGGUAACAAUAUGUUUAAUUUUGUGAAAAACCACCAAACUGUCUUCCAAAGUAUUUGUUCUGUUUUGCAUUCCCACUGGCAAUGAAUGAAACUUUAUUUUAUUUUAUUUUUUGAGACAGGAUUUUGCUUUGUCAUCCAGACUGGGGUGCAGUGGCCCAAACAUGGCUCACUGCGGCCUCAAUCUCCUGGGCCCAAGUGAUCCUCCUGCCUCUGUCCCCCAAGUAGCUGGGACUACAGGCACACACCACCAUGCUCUGCUAUUUUUUGUAUUUUUUGUAGAGAUGGGUUUUUGCCAUGUUGCCCAGGCUGCUCUCAAACUCCUGAGCUCAACGAUCUGGCAGCCUUGGCCUCCCAAAAUGCUGGGAUUACAGGUGUGAGCCACUGCACCCGGCCGAGACUUUUAUUUUAAAUCACAGAUGAAAGUGACUUGCUUAAGAUUACACAACUAUUAGUUGGUAGAGCAGCACUUCUGGUUCCAUACUCUGGGUAGUUUCUGUUUGACCACACUGUCCCCUCAGCUAGACAAGCCAAUCCCAUGCCCUUACAAACACUCCCACAUUUCCUGACCCUUGCUUUUGAGGCCUCAUUCUUGGUGCAGAAGCUUCCUGAGGCAUCCUUCUUCUGCUCCAUGAAGGAAAGACUGUCAUCCAUCCAGGUCCUGUGUCUGAGAAGCUUGCGAUGCUCUUGCAGUGCCCUGGCAUGCGCAGGGGCCAAUGUCCAGUUGUCCAAGCUUACCUGUGCCAAGAGAGGACCCGGGUGGCUCUGCAAGGCCCUCUUUCUAGUCAGAAGAGACCCGGCCAGCCCCAGAAUCUGAGGAGUCACUGGAACGUCAUCAGGGACUAGGAGAGGAAAAGGCCCCCAUGGCGCUCCCCUCUCUCCAGAUCCAAGCUCUUUCUUUGUCUCUUUUUGAUGCGAAAUUCACAUAACAUAAAAAUUAACCAUUUUAGGCCAGGCAUGGUGGCUCAUGCCUGUAAUCCCAGCACUUUGGGAGACCAAGGUGGGUGAAUGACAUGAGGCCAGGAGUUCGAGACCAGCCUGGCCAACAUGGAGAAAGCCCAUCUCCACAAAAUAAAUAAAAAACAACGAAAUUGACCAUUUUAAAGUGAACAAUUCAGUGGCAUUUAGCACAUUCACGACGCUGUGCAGCUACCACUUUUAUCUAGUUCCAACACUCUCAUCACUCCAAAGAGAAACCCCAUCCCUGUUAAGCAGCCAGUGUCGCUUUUCGCCCUCUUCCUAGCCCCGGACAGCCACCAAUCUGUGUUCUGUCUCUUUGGGUUUACCCAGUCUGGUAAUGGAAUAAAUGGAAUCAUACAACAUGUGGCCUUUUGUGUCUGGGUCCAAGUUAUUUUCCAUUACUCCCUGAGGAAGGAGGAGGAGAAGGGACCUCUUCUGCCUUUGUCUCCCUCCCCGUCCCUUGUCCACCUUGCCCUGUGCGCCCACCAGCAGCACCUGUGGCUCAGCUCCUCCAUUCUAUGCUAUUUCCUAUUUCUCUUUUUUAUUUUUUGAAAAAGGGACUCACUCUGUUGCCCAGGCUGGAGUGCAGUGACGUGACCGUAGCUCACUGCAGCCUCAACCUCCCAGGCUCAAGUGACACUCCCACCUCAGCCUCCUGAGUAGCUGGGACUACAGCAUGCACCACUACGGCCAACUAAUUUUUAAAACUUGUUUUUUGUAGAGACUGAGUUUCGCCAUGUUGCCCAGGCUGGUCUCGAAUUCUUGGCCUCAAGUGAUCCUCCUGCCUCUGCCUCCCAAUGUGCUGGGAUCACAGGCAUGAGCCACCAUACUCAGCCUCCUAUUCCUUUUUUUUUUUUUCAAUUUUGUACAUUUUUAAUUCUAAAUUUUCUCAUUACACAAAUAAAAAGUGAAGUAAUAGCUGUUGAAAUGUUGGCUCUAUUAGCAUAAAAAGAAUUUGCAAACGGUUAAAUAUUUCCAAUUUCAUAUCAAUGUCAUCAGUUGCUUUGAAGGAAAAAAACAGUUAAUUCCAAUAGUGUUUGAUUUUUAUUUUUCAUCUAAUUCAUAACAUCCUAUUCCUUUUAAUUACCCUUAGCAGAGUACUUUGAGGAGUCAUAGAUGCAUUCAACAAAUAGCCCAUAGGCUAGCAGCGGGGAGAGACAGGUUAAGUGUCAUUAAAACUGUGAUAAGGCAACACUAGCAGUUUUACAGAGAGCCAGGGGACCCAGAGGAGAGACAACUAAUUCAGCCUGGAGGUGAGGCUGGUGAGGGAAGACAACACGGAGGAGACAGAUGCGGGGCGGGGGAGGGCAGGCCGGGUCUGUCUUGUUCACUGUUCCUCAGCACUCAGGGUAGUUCCUGGCAACUAGAACGGGGAUGAGUGAACAAGUUAAUGAAUCAAGCAGGCAAUCUAUCAGCCAAGAGCUGAAGAAUUAAUAGGAGUUGUCUCUACCAGAAAAAAUGGGUAGAGCAUAUCUGGAGACUUGUAGGCAAGAGGGUCAGCCCUUUUAUUACACUGAGUGGUAUUUCGGUCUAGAUGAAGGUUGAAGAAGAUGGGGGGUAAGGACAGAAGAAGUUGGGGCCAGAUCAUGCAGGGCCUUGGAAGCGACAUAAAGGAGUUUGACUGAGUAAAAAGAGCGACCUGAGUAAAAAGAGGGACCACUGAAGGGUUUUGCGCAGAUGUACGUUUUAGAAACACAUCUGUCUAAUCCAGGCUAGGGAUAAUGAUGACCUAACGAGGCUCCCAGCAGACAGAACGUCAUUCUUGCACUCCUGCUAUUGGUGUUCUACUGGAAAACAGAGGUGUUUAAUCAAAAAUAACCAUAAAAAAAUUAAUGAAUUAAUCAUAAGGAUGCAAGGUGCUCUGAGGGAUGCUAUGAGUCAAGAAAAUCCUUCUCAAGACCAGGAGGGACUUUGAAAUCAAAACUUGGGAGAUGAACAGGAGUUGGCCAACACUGAAGCUUUUGGGAACGUCCUGAGCAACCUGUGGUGAAGGAAGUGAGAGAAGUCCAGGGUAGUUGCGGUGAAGAGUGUGAGGCUGGGAGACUGAUCGGAUGAGGCUGGGGCGAUAAGUAGGGCUCAGACCAGAACGACCCUAUUACACAUUUUGGACUUACCCUAAGCAAAAUAGGAAGUCCUUGAUGAUGUAAACAGGACCCUAUUUUGAAAAAUAGGAUUAAUUGCAUUUCUCUUUUGCAUUUCUGUGCAUGUGACCUUCUUCCUGCUCAGCUCAAACAUCUGCUUCCUUGGGGAAAGGGACUAGGAUUAUCAAAGAAAAAAAUGGAGAGGAAGAUAAUGAAUAGCUUCUGACCUCCAAAAUAAGAUUUUUCAGCCAGACAAUAGUCUCAAAAGACAUUAUUUUUAAAAGAAAAAAGAUGUUCUGUUGUCUUUAGCUCCCUCUUUAAGAUAUCAAGAAGCCCUGACAGAAUUAAUCAUGGGGCUUUACCUAAAGAAAAGAAUAGAAGAGAAACCCCUGACCUUUAGUCCAAAGGAUGGCAAGGAGGAGGCCAGAGAGAAAGCAGGUGGGAAGGAAGUCAGAUAUGCGUCCUAAUCUUCUAUCUUCCAUUGGAAGUCCCAGAGGGUGAAGAUGCCUUAGAAGAGAGAGGAACAGGUGGUCCUUUUAGGUCCCUGGGAAGAGAUUUCCUUGAAUAUCUAUCCAGAGGUCUUCACAUCAAAGUAAACUUGGUGGUUUGGUGUGGUUAGUCACAGAGAGGGUUUGAACUUAACCUUCUCAAGCCACCCUGGGUUCCCAUGUGGUGUGAAAAUGAUGUCUACGCUAGAUCUUUAGCUGUGGUUUUUGCUUAAGAAACUGACUAGAAGCAAAUAGAUUGAAAACCUACCAAGCUUUUAAAGAAAAUGUAUAAAAUUUUUUUUAAAAAGCAGUGAGUAUGGUCUGUCAUAACCUUAACAGUUAAAUCCUAAAACAAUCCAGGGGCCCCAGAACCUGCCGCAGCAAGAAGUAGGCUGUGAAUACCCGGGGAGCCCACUCACCAAUGCCCAUAUCGAGGGUGGCCAUGGAGGUUAGUGAACCAGGAAGAACCUCCCAGAAGGAAGAGCCCAGAGACACAGACAAUGAACAAAAUAAUUAUUCCCAGAGAGCAAAUUUUUCCCCCAACCUCUGGCUCCAGACUUUCAGAUAAGAGAAGAAAACCUUGUAUGUUCAAGGUUCUGUUGAUUUGGGUUUUCAGGCACAGGCGGCUGCAUGGAAUCCUAACGGAAGUACCUCUCCAAUAGGCUUGGAGUAGGAGCCUGAAGUAAUCAGUUUGGUUUUAGGGACCCAGAACCUGCAGCAGCAGCAGGAAAUAGCAGGCUGUGAACACUCAUAUCAGUUUGUUUUGGCUGCAAAGUGGGGACUGGAGAUGACUGUGGUUGUCUGGAUGAGAGAUGAGAGGGGCUUAUACUAGGAUGGAGGCAGUGGGGCAGGAUAGAACAUUCACACGGGGAGCAGACAGGACUUGGGGGUGUCUGCAUUGAUAUGAGGACUGAGCAAGAGAUGAGAGUCAAGGACAGGGAGAGGAAAGUUAAAAACAGAAAAAGGCAUUUCACAGAAAAAGUGGUUAGCAGUGCCAAAUGCUGGGCAGUAAUCAAAGAUGAUAAGGGCUGAGAUGUGUCUGUGUAAGAUUUUGUCACAAGGAAGUACAGAGGCUCAGGGCAGAGAGGGGAAGCCAGACUUCAGCGGGCUGACAGAAGAGUGGCAGUGAGGAAGUGGAUGCAGUAAGUAAACAUAACUUCACAAGACUCUCAGCUGUGAAGCUGAAAUGCGAGUGGGGCCAAGGUCGGUUUUUGUCAUGUUUAAGAUGGAUGAUACUUGAUCACAUUUAAUGCUGAUGGGAAAGGGCCCUUGAAAAGACUGACGUCAACCACAAAAUAAGAAUAGGAGGAAGCUGGUGGAAGAGGGUCCCUGAGAAGAAGGAGCACGGUGGGUACCCAGAGCUGGGCAAAGGAAGGGGCUUGGGGGCAGGAGGGGCCCUUCUCUGUCAAAUCAGGAGAAGGAGGGAAGGUGGGAGACAGAUGGCAGCGAUGGGAGAUGGAGGAGCUCUCUAGAGUGGGACUGCGGCUGUGUCACCCCUCCGCCAUGCAGCUGCCCCAUUUGCAGCUUCCAAUACCUAGAAAUAAAUCUCUCAUUUCUUCUUACUUUUGGGGUCUGUUUAAAUGCCACUGAUUCUGGAAAGCCCUUUCUAACCAUCCCCCAGACUAGGGAAAGUCCCCUUGGUACCUGCCCCCAUGGUGCCUUAUACAUCUCUGUGAGACACUCGUGAACCUGUAAUUACUUAUUCUACAAUGGCCAGUAGCCAGGACAAUGGCCUGGGGUGGGGGUGGGGGCCCUAAGGCUUCCUUGUCCCCUCUGUCUUCCUGGAGCCGAGAACAGUGCCUAGCACAAAUAGGCACUCAAUAAAAGGCGUUGAUAGACUGACUAUAGAAAGGUUCAAGCCUGCCUUAGGUUGGCAGCUUAAAUUUCCAACAUCCCCAAUCAGCCCAUGCUCAGGACAUCCAGGCCUCCUGCACAGCCCCCAAAGCCAACCCAUGUUCUCUUCCCCUUGUGUUAGAUUGUUCCCUUGGCCAGGCACGCUUGCUCUCUUCUUUAUCCAUUUUUUUUUUUUUUUUUUUUUUUGAGGCAGGGUCUCACUUUGCUGUCCAGGCUGGAAUGCAGUGGCAUUAUCACAAUUCACUGCAGCCUCCACCUCCUGGGCUCAAGCGGUCCUCCCACCUCAGCCUCCUGAGUAGCUGGGAUCACAGGUGUAUGCAACCAUGCCCAGCUAAUUUUUUAAGUUUUUAUAGAGACGAGGUCUUGUCGUGUUACCCAGGCUGGUCUUGAACUCCUGGCCUCAAGUGAUCCACCUGCCUUGGGCCUCCUGAAGUGCUGGGAUUACAGGUGUGAGCCACCGUGCCCGGCUCCACUCCAUCUUACCCAUAGCCAUCCCACUUUCAGGCUCCAAUUUAGGAUCCUCUCCUCCAUGGAAUUGUCUCUGAAAUCCCCCCACCUGCCACAGGCCAAAAUGUCUGUGCUCCUUCUCCUUCCACUCCAACCAGAUUGCAACCUCCUUGAGGGCAGCUUCUAGUUUUUAGUUCAUUGCUAUUUCCAGUGAAAACAUUUGGCUGUGAAAUAAAGAGACACCUCAUUUCUAACACUGGCAUCAACAGUGUCUUAUAGAACUGUGUCCCAAGAGUGCCUUUGGCGGUGUCAUGCACUUAGUAGGAACACAAAAAUAUUUUUUAAUGAAUAUUUUCUCCCUCAUCCCUGUAAGAAUAUAAUGGUGACAGUCUCCAACUGCACACUAAUUUUUUUAAAUGCGGUUCUCUUAUGUUUAAAACACAAGGUGUCUGUUUUUAUCAGUGAAUGUAGUCUGUCUUUUCAGAUUUAUUCCAUCUUUGAGAAACAAAUGCAUGCCAUUUGCACUGGAUCAAGGUAGUAACUGUACUUGCCAGUGGAACAGACACACCACUGUGUAAGAAAAAAGGAAUUUCUGGCCGGGUGCAGUAGCUAACCCCUGUAAUCCCAGCACUUUGGGAGGCCGAGGCAGGUGGAUCACUACAGAUCAGGAGUUCGAGACCAGCCUGGCCAACAUGGUGAAACCCCAUCUUUACUAAAAAUACAAAAAUUAGCUGGGCUUGGUGGUGCAUGCCUGUAGUCCCAGCUACUUGGGAGGCUGAGGCAGAAGAAUCACAUGAACCCGGGAGGCAGAGGUUGCAGUGAGCCAAGAUUGUGCCGCUGCACUCUACCCAAACAAUAGAGCGAGACUCCAUCUCAAAAAUAAAUAAAAUAAAAAGAAAAAAAAAAAGAGAGAAUUUCUAAUGGAGUUGAGAUUUUCCAACACAUCCAGCAACAUUUGUCUCUUGGGUUACUGAAUGAGACCAUUUAUAUAAAGGCACAUGAAAAGGUUACGAAGUAUGGAAAUAAAGGGGAAACAGUACCACUAGUCUCUAUUAGUUUAUUUUCUGUGCUAAUGUUUCAUGAUUCUUUUUUAGUUCAGAAAAUAGAGUCACUGGGAUUCUCAGAAAUACUACCUAAAUAUAAAUCCAUAGAGACAGAAAGCAGAUUGGUGGUUGUCAGGGGUUGGGGAGGGAGGACUGGGGAGUAGUAGCUUAAUGGGUUUGGGGUUUUCUUUCUGGGUGAUGAAAAUAUUUUGCAACUAGACAGAGGUGGUAGUUGUAUUAUACAACAUCGUGAAGGUAAUAAAUGCCACUGAAUUGUUCACUCUAAAAUGGUUCAUUUUCUUCUAUAUGAAUUCCACCACAAAACAAAGAUAUGUCACCUAUAUAAUACUGAAUAGUUUCCAAAGGUCCUGAGGGACAAGGCAGCGUUAUGCUCUGAAAUAGCAGCAGAUCUGAAGGCCCCACAGCAGCCUGUACUUUGCCUUUGGAGAAAGAAGGGGGGUCCCCCGUGUCUAACCAGGGCCCUGUCCUCACAGUGCCCUCAGAGACAUUCAGCCGAAUGCCACUGCAGUCCAGGCCACUGCGGAGUGUUUGUGUUUUGGUUUGUUUUCCCCUUGGGCUUACAGAAGGACUUGUGAAGGUGUUUAGUUUGGUUAAGGACUUCCCACUUCCAGAGGUGGAGCCUGAAGAAGGUUCUAUUUUUUUUCUUCAAGUGAGUGGAACUUUCCAGGGACAACAACUCACAGGCUAUGGAUAGACUACGGAUGCACUUCACUGUGGCCUCUACUCAUGAGGGGCCUAAUGGACGAGGAGGAGGAGGAUCUGCCCAAUGGGCAGUCAUGGGGUAUAGUCCCCUCUCCACUCCAGGAAGGUUUGGCAAAGGCAGAAGCUGACUGCAAAGACUGGAUGGGUUGGGUGCAAUGGCUCACGCCUAUAAUCCCAGCAUUUUGGGAGGCCGAGACGAGUGGAUCACCUGAGGUCAGGAGUUCGAGACCAGCCUGGACAACAUGACGAAACUCCGUCUCUACUAAAAAUACAAAAAAUUAGCUGGGCGUGGUGGUGGGCGCCUGUAAUCCCAGCUACUUGGGAGGCUGAGGCAGGAGAAUAGCUUGAACCCGGGAGGCAGAGGUUGCAAUAAGCCAAGAUCACACCACGGCACGCUAGCCUAGGCAACAAGAGCAAAACUCUGUCUCAAAAAAAAAAACCCGAAAAAACAAAAAAAACAAAGAAGACUGGAUGGACUUGUCCUAACAGCUCACAGUGUCUCAGGAAACAGUCCUUUAGUUGUCUCAUCAGGUGUAAGAACAGCAUCCUAGACCAGGUACACAGUUGGCCCUGAAGGCCAUCAGACCUGUGUGAGGGCCUGGCAGGGCCCUGUGGCCAGCAGGGGCUGAGCUACCCAUGUACAAGUAUCCCAUUCACCCUUUAAACACACAGGCCAAAAGGAAAAUCGCACUCUUCAUUUCAAACAUGGCACUGGAGCCCAGAGCCCAGUGGCUUCACCUUAAUCAAGUUGCCUCCAUCAACACUGUCACAAAGGUCUAUGAUUUCAACUACUUAAGUUUCCCUCUGACUUGAGCCCGUCACCUCUUUUCAUAUGCCCUCACACAUACAUGGUCUCGUUGCUCAACAUGUUGGAAAAUAUCAGCUCCAGGAGAAAUUCCUUUUCCCUUACAUAGUGGCAGGCCUAAUGAACACAGAAAGCCUGGAGACUGGGUUGUGUUCACUUGGGGAACUCUAGGUCCAGCAAAAGGGGAUGGUCCCAGGGAUCCCUCACCAAGACAGCUUUCCUGGGGAAGCAGAUUGUGCUUAAUCCUCAAAACUGCAAAUUUGUUGGAAAUGUCAUCAAGAGUUAACCAUUACCCCAGGUCACUGAACUGGUUUGGGCCGAGGCAGCCUAGAAUGACAGGUGACUGCAACAUUCCCCCAACAGACCGUCUUAGGUUGAGAACCCAGUAGAGGUCGCCCCUUACUUUUUUUCUCCAUAAGAAACUGAAAAACUGUCUGGAUGCUUUGAAAGCAUUUACAGCUGCUCAGAGAAGCUUCUGACUCCAUCUAAUAAGCCCCUGGCAGCCAUCAACCUCUCUAAUUGCCCUAUAGGUGAAGAGGUGGGAAUUUAAAUAAACAGUGGAUUUUGAAGAUGAACAAUGUUAUGGAAGGGCCUAGGCAUGACAGCCAAGCAUCAAAGCAUGAGCACAUGUGUCUCUCUUGACAACAUAAUCCCCAAAGCUCAGAGAAGCUGGAUGUGGACCUCCCGAGCAUCUGCCUCCUUGGCAUUUAUACCACAAGGAAACAUACCAGUUACUCAAGAAAGUACAGGUAGCACUGAAACCCUCCAGAUUCCUUCUGGUUCCUUGUCUACUCAGGCAGAAGAGGUCAUUACAAGGCCCAAUGCUACGACUCUGAGUGGCCCUGUUCCCUAAUGCCCCUGGCUCACAUAAAAGGAAAACGAGGCCAUGUGCGGUGGCUCACGCCUGUAAACCCAGCACUUUGGGAGGCUGAGUCGGGUGGAUCACUUCAGGUCAGGAGUUCGAGACCAGCCUGGCCAACAUGGGGAAACCCCGUCUCUACUAAAAUUACAAAAGUUACCCAGGUGUAGUGGUGCACAUCUGUAAUCCCAGCUACUUGGGAGGCUGAGGCAGGAGAAUCAGUUGAACCCAAGUGGCAGAGGUUGCAGUGAGCCAAGAUCAUGCCACAGCACUCCAGCCUGGGCAACAGAGUGAAACUCCAUCUCAAAAAAAAAAAAAAAAAAAAAAGGAAAAGGAAGGCAUAUUGUUAUUCUUCUUAAGUAGGUACUCUUCUAUAUUAUAUAUUAUAUAUAAAAUAAAAAAGGAAAAGGAAGGCAUAUUGUUAUCCCUCCUGUUUACUUAUAUAUUUUACAUAUAUAAUAUAAUAUUAUCAUGACCCUGCUCCUUUACUGAUGAGGAAACUAAGGGUCAGAGAGGUUAAAUGGCUCUCUCCAAACCUCAAUAGCCAGUGAGUAUUGGGGGCAGGCCUAGGAUUUAGGGUCCCUGUGACUCCCAGCUCAGUGCUCUUGGUGUCUCCAGAGAAUGAGGCCUAUACACUGAGCUUGUCUAAAGCAUGUGGGAGGCCAGGCAUGGUGGCUGAUGCCUGUGAUCCCAGCACUUUGAGAGACUGAGGCAGGAGGACUGCUUGAGUCCAGGAGUUCAAGAAGCGCCUGGGCAACAUGGUGAAACCCUAUCUCGACAAAAAAUACAAAAAUUAGCCAGGCAUGGUGGCAGAUGCCUGUAGUCCCAGUUACUUGGAAGGCUGAGGUGGGAGGAUCACCUGAGCCGGAGAGGUCAAGGCUGCAGUGAGCCAUGGCUGUGCCACUGCAUGCCACCCUGGGCUUGUAUUACAUAUAGUAAAACAACAAAACAACAACAACA